UGGGGAAUUUUGGACAAUGGGGGAAACCCUGAUCCAGCCAUCCCGCGUGUGCGAUGAAGGCCUUCGGGUUGUAAAGCACUUUUGGCAGGAAAGAAACGUCGCGGGUUAAUACCCCGCGAAACUGACGGUACCUGCAGAAUAAGCACCGGCUAACUACGUGCCAGCAGCCGCGGUAAUACGUAGGGUGCAAGCGUUAAUCGGAAUUACUGGGCGUAAAGCGUGCGCAGGCGGUUCGGAAAGAAAGAUGUGAAAUCCCAGAGCUUAACUUUGGAACUGCAUUUUUAACUACCGGGCUAGAGUGUGUCAGAGGGAGGUGGAAUUCCGCGUGUAGCAGUGAAAUGCGUAGAUAUGCGGAGGAACACCGAUGGCGAAGGCAGCCUCCUGGGAUAACACUGACGCUCAUGCACGAAAGCGUGGGGAGCAAACAGGAUUAGAUACCCUGGUAGUCCACGCCCUAAACGAUGUCAACUAGCUGUUGGGGGCCUUCGGGCCUUGGUAGCGCAGCUAACGCGUGAAGUUGACCGCCUGGGGAGUACGGUCGCAAGAUUAAAACUCAAAUGAAUUGACGGGGUCAUAGCUG
rnacentral:rRNA from 1 species